rnacentral:rRNA from 1 species
UACGUAGGGUCCGAGCGUUGUCCGGAAUUAUUGGGCGUAAAGAGCUCGUAGGCGGUUUGUCGCGUCUGCUGUGAAAUCCCGAGGCUCAACCUCGGGUCUGCAGUGGGUACGGGCAGACUGGAGUGCGGUAGGGGAGAAUGGAAUUCCUGGUGUAGCGGUGGAAUGCGCAGAUAUCAGGAGGAACACCGGUAGCGAAGGCGGUUCUCUGGGCAUUACCUGACGCUGAGGAGCGAAAGCAUGGGGAGCGAACAGG